rnacentral:SRP_RNA from 1 species
GCAGCCGGGGCGUUAGCGGUGUCCUGUACUCACAAUCCGCUUUAGUGGGGGUCAUGGCCUUACUGAGGGCGCAUGUUGAUGUGGCCGCCCUGUAUAAGUGAUGUUGAAAUCCGGGUCUUGCGCAAUGCGUGCCUGUGAACCGUGUCAGGGUGGGAACACAGCAGCACUAAGCGGGAAUUCGUAUGUGCCGUGAGGGUGCCUGGGUGGAGUUGGCUGUACAGGUAGCGCAUGUUGGCUUAGUUCGAAGAGGGUCGCAC